rnacentral:rRNA from 1 species
GACGAACGCUGGCGGCGUGCUUAACACAUGCAAGUCGAACGGUGAAGCGCCUUCCUUUUUGGUGGGUGUGGAUGAGUGGCGAACGGGUGAGUAACACGUGAGUAACCUGCCCCCUUCUUCUGGAUAACCGCAUGAAAGUGUGGCUAAUACGGGAUAUUCUGGGUCUGUCGCAUGAUGGGUCUGGGAAAGAUAUUGUUUCGGUGGGGGAUGGGCUCGCGGCCUAUCAGCUUGUUGGUGGGGUGAUGGCCUACCAAGGCGGUGACGGGUAGCCGGCCUGAGAGGGUGGACGGUCACACUGGGAAUGAGACACGGCCCAGACUCCUACGGGAGGCAGCAGGGGGGAAUAUUGCACAAUGGGCGCAAGCCUGAUGCAGCGACGCCGCGUGAGGGAUGGAGGCCUUCGGGUUGUGAACCUCUUUCGCCAGUGAAGCAGGCCUGCCUCGUUUGUGGGUGGGUUGACGGUAGCUGGAGAAGAAGCGCCGGCUAACUACGUG